rnacentral:tRNA from 1 species
GGACUGUAGCUAAGUGGUAGAGCACUUGCCUUGCAGAUGUGAGACCCUGGGUUCGAUCCUCAGCACCA